GAUGAACGCUAGCUACAGGCUUAACACAUGCAAGUCGCAGGGUAACAUGAGGAAAGCUUGCUUUCCUUGAUGACGACUGGCGCACGGGUGAGUAACGCGUAUCCAACCUUCCCAUAACUACGGGAUAACCCGUUGAAAGACGGCCUAAUACCGUAUGAUAUCGUUUGCUGACAUCAAAUAACGAUUAAAGGUUUAGCGGUUAUGGAUGGGGAUGCGUCUGAUUAGCUUGUUGGCGGGGUAACGGCCCACCAAGGCGACGAUCAGUAGGGGUUCUGAGAGGAAGGUCCCCCGCAUUGGAACUGAGACACGGUCCAAACUCCUACGGGAGGCAGCAGUGAGGAAUAUUGGUCAAGGGGCGAGAGCCUGAACCAGCCAAGUAGCGUGCAGGACGACGGCCCUAUGGGUUGUAAACUGCUUUUAUGUGGGGAUAAAGUGCGUGACGUGUCAUGCAUUGCAGGUACCACAUGAAUAAGGACCGGCUAAUUCCGUG
rnacentral:rRNA from 1 species